GGCCAGACUCCUACGGGAGGCAGCAGUGGGGAAUAUUGCACAAUGGGGGGAACCCUGAUGCAGCGACGCCGCGUGGGUGAAGAAGCGCCUCGGCGCGUAAAGCCCUGUCAGCAGGGAAGAAAAUGACGGUACCUGAAGAAGAAGCCCCGGCUAACUACGUGCCAGCAGCCGCGGUAAUACGUAGGGGGCAAGCGUUAUCCGGAUUAACUGGGUGUAAAGGGGGCGCAGACGGCGAUGCAAGCCAGGAGUGAAAGCCCGGGGCCCAACCCCGGGACUGCUCUUGGAACUGCGUGGCUGGAGUGCAGGAGGGGCGGGCGGAAUUCCUGGUGUAGCGGUGAAAAGCGUAGAUAUCAGGAGGAACACCGGUGGCGAAGGCGGCCUGCUGGACUGCAACUGACGUUGAGGCCCGCAAGCGUGGGGAGCAAACAGGAUUAGAUACCCCUGCAUA
rnacentral:rRNA from 1 species